UAGGGGAAUCUUCCACAAUGGACGCAAGUCUGAUGGGGCAACGCCGCGUGAGUGAAGAAGGUCUUCGGAUCGUAAAACUCUGUUGUUAGAGAAGAACACGAGUGAGAGUAACUGUUCAUUCGAUGACGGUAUCUAACCAGCAAGUCACGGCUAACUACGUGCCGG
rnacentral:rRNA from 1 species